AGUGAACGCUGGCGGUAGGCCUAACACAUGCAAGUCGAACGGCAGCACAGUAAGAGCUUGCUCUUACGGGUGACGAGUGGCGGACGGGUGAGGAAUACAUCGGAAUCUACUUUUUCGUGGGGGAUAACGUAGGGAAACUUACGCUAAUACCGCAUACGACCUACGGGUGAAAGCAGGGGAUCUUCGGACCUUGCGCGAUUGAAUGAGCCGAUGUCGGAUUAGCUAGUUGGCGGGGUAAAGGCCCACCAAGGCGACGAUCCGUAGCUGGUCUGAGAGGAUGAUCAGCCACACUGGAACUGAGACACGGUCCAGACUCCUACGGGAGGCAGCAGUGGGGAAUAUUGGACAAUGGGCGCAAGCCUGAUCCAGCCAUACCGCGUGGGUGAAGAAGGCCUUCGGGUUGUAAAGCCCUUUUGUUGGGAAAGAAAAGCAGCAGGUUAAUACCCCGCCGUUCUGACGGUACCCAAAGAAUAAGCACCGGCUAACUUCGUG
rnacentral:rRNA from 1 species